rnacentral:rRNA from 1 species
UACGAAGGGGGCUAGCGUUGUUCGGAAUUACUGGGCGUAAAGCGCACGUAGGCGGAUACUUAAGUCAGGGGUGAAAUCCCGGGGCUCAACCCCGGAACUGCCUUUGAUACUGGGUAUCUCGAGUCCGGAAGAGGUGAGUGGAAUUCCGAGUGUAGAGGUGAAAUUCGUAGAUAUUCGGAGGAACACCAGUGGCGAAGGCGGCUCACUGGUCCGGUACUGACGCUGAGGUGCGAAAGCGCGGGGAGCAAACAGG